rnacentral:rRNA from 1 species
AAUAGAUACCCCGGUAGUCCACGCCGUAAACGAUGGACACUAGGUGUGGGGGGUAUCGACCCCCUCCGUGCCGCAGCUAACGCAAUAAGUGUCCCGCCUGGGGAGUACGGCCGCAAGGCUAAAACUCAAAGGAAUUGACGGGGGCCCGCACAAGCAGCGGAGCGUGCGGUUUAAUUCGUCGCAACGCGAAGAACCUUACCAAGGCUUGACAUGCUAGUGGUACCGAUCCGAAAGGUGAGGGACCCUUCGGGGAGCUAGCACAGGUGCUGCAUGGCUGUCGUCAGCUCGUACCGUGAGGUGUUGGGUUAAGUCCCGCAACGAGCGUAACCCCUGUCCCAUGUUGCCAGCGAGUAAUGUCGGGGACUCAUGGGAGACUGCCGGUGACAAAUCGGAGGAAGGUGGGGAUGAUGUCAAGUCAUCAUGCCCCUUAUGUCCUGGGCUACACACGUGCUACAUUGGCCGGUACAAAGGGCUGCAAACCUGCGAGGGUGAGCGAAUCCCAAAAAGCCGGUCCGGUUCGGAUUGAAGGCUGAAACUCGCUUCAUGAA